ACUCCUACCGGAGGCAGCAGUGAGGAAUAUUGGUCAAUGGGCGGGAGCCUGAACCAGCCAAGUCGCGUGAGGGAUGACGGCCCUAUGGGUUGUAAACCUCUUUUGCCGGGGAGCAAAGUGCCGCACGUGUGCGGUUUGGAGAGUACCCGGAGAAAAAGCAUCGGCUAACUCCGUGCCAGCAGCCGCGGUAAUACGGAGGAUGCGAGCGUUAUCCGGAUUUAUUGGGUUUAAAGGGUGCGUAGGCGGGCAUUUAAGCCGGCGGUCAAAUUUCGGGGCUCAACCCCGGCCUGCCGUCGGA
rnacentral:rRNA from 1 species